ACGUAUGAUUAUCGUAUAAUUCAUUCCUUUAACCCAAAUGCUUAAGGUGACUUAAGGUUUAACUAUCAACCCUAAUUAAGUUGACCAUAUUAUAUUUCAAUCUUUCAAAUCUAUCUCAUGGAUUAUCCUGAUCAAGAUUUUACUAAAUUAAAAUACACUGAUGCAUAUCUCCUACCAAUUCAGAGGGGAUAAUUCCAUCUUGACUCACACACUGACUUGAUAAAUACUUGACUGCAUUUAGUAUCCUUCCAUCACUAAAUUAGAAAUUUAGAUACUCUGAUACUAAAGUACAGUGAGUUGCUUACAAGUCAUCAUGAUGGUCUC
rnacentral:lncRNA from 1 species